UACGUAGGGCGCGAGCGUUAAUCGGAAUUACUGGGCGUAAAGCGCGCGCAGGCGGUUUUUUAAGUCAGAUGUGAAAUCCCCGGGCUUAACCUGGGAAUGGCAUUUGGGACUGCAAGGCUCGAGUGCGGCAGAGGAGACUGGAAUUCCUGGUGUAGCAGUGAAAUGCGUAGAUAUCAGGAGGACCACCGAUGGCGAAGGCAGGUCUCUGGGCUGACACUGACGCUCAUGCACGAAAGCGUGGGGAGCAAACAGG
rnacentral:rRNA from 1 species